GGCUGUAUGUUGGGUAUCUUUCUGCAUCAAUCAUUGGAUGCAACUCUUGUGUGACUAUGUCAAUGAUUGAGUCUCUCACUUAGCACAAAUCCUAAUUUUGAAAAUUAUGUCACCAAUGACAACAUUGCCCUGAAUGCGUUUGUUCUGGUAAAUAUAGCUUUAAUGCAAAAUUUUUUUAGUAUCAUAUACUAACAACACCUUUACUGGACAAUAGAUGACUGAUUGACGUACUGUUAGAUAUCAGUCCAAGAUUAGUUACUGAACAUA
rnacentral:misc_RNA from 1 species